UUAGUGAAUUUAUUUCAGUAAGAUGGAUAAUUUGUUCAAAGUACCAAACACAUUUGCUUUUAUAAUUCAUGCCAUUUGUAUUACAUGUCUACAUGAAAUAGAGAAAGAAUAUAGGACAUGUAACUACACAUGCAACCUUGGGCUUUCCAAAAUGUUUAAAGUACCAAAUUCCCUUGGUGCCAAUUGUUUUAGGCAUUUCAUCUUCACUCAUUUGCUUCCUAAAUAUAGCAUAGGUGUGAUGUACCCUGUAAAUUUCAAAUUCACAUAAAGAAGUCCCAGCCUUUGAGGCAACUCUUAAUUGAAUACCAAACGAAAACGUUAGUGUCAUCUGAAAUGUUUCUGAAUAAAUAGUUGCUUUAAAGUCUUCUUUGAUUUCUAUGUUCAUUAGUGUCCAAAUUCAGAAUGGGAACCAAGUUGGGGAGAAAAAGAAACGAAGUCUUUCAGGACAGUCUUUGAAAGAGACUUGGUAAAGAGCACAUUGGGACCCAAAGGCAUGGACAAAAUUCAUCUAAGCAGUGGACGAGAUGCCUCUCUUAUGAUAACCAAUGAUGGUGCCACUAUUCUAAAAAGCAUUGGUGUUGACAAUCCAGCAGCUAAAGUUUUAGUUGAUAUGUCAAGGGUUCAAGAUGAUGAAGUUAGUGACGGCACUACUUCUGUUACCAUUUUAGCAGCAGAAUUAUUAAGGGAAGCAGAAUCCUUAAUUGCAAAAAUGAUUCAUCCACAGACCAUCAUAGCAGGUUGGAGAGAAGCCACAAAGGCUGCAAGAGAGGCUCUGUUGAGUUCCACGGUCGAUCAUGGUUCUGAUAAAGUUAAAUUCCGUCAAGAUUUAAUGAAUGUUGCUGGCACAACAUUAUCCUCAAAACUUCUUACUCAUCACAAAGACCACUUUACUAUGUUAGCUGUAGAAGUGGUUCUCAGACUAAAAGGCUCUGGCAACCUGGAGGCAAUUCAUACUAUCAAGAAGCUAGGAGGAAGUUUGGCAGAUUCCUGUUUAGAUGAAGGCUUUCCGUUGGAUAAAAAAAUUGGAGUGAAUCAACCAAAAUGAAUUGAAAAUAUUCAAAUUCUUAUUGCAGACAAUUUUGUCUGUAUGGAUACAGGCAAAAUAAAGAUAUUUGGUUACUGGGAAGAGUUGAUUCUACAGCAAAGUUUGCAGAAAUAGAACAUGUGGAAAAGGAAAAAAUGAAGGAGAAGGUUGAAUGUAUUCUUAAGCAUGGAAUAAAUUGCUUUAUUAACAGGCAGUUAAUUUAUAAUUAUCCUGAACAGCUCUUCGGUACUGCUGGUGUCAGGGCUAUUGAGCAUGCAGAUUUUGCAGGUGUGGAAUGCCUAGUUCUUGUCACGGGUGGUGAAAUUGCCUCUACCUUUGAUCACCCAGAACUGGUGAAGCUUGGAAGCUGCAAACUUAUCGAGGAAGUCAUGAUUGGAGAAGACAAACUCAUUCACUUUUCUGGGGUUGCCCUUGGUGAGGCUUGUACUAUUGUUUUGCGUGGUGCCACUCAACAAAUUUUAGAUGAAGCAGAAAGAUCUUUGCAUGAUGCUGUUUGUGUUCUUGCACAAACUGUAAAGGACUCUAGAACAGUUUAUGGAGGAGGCUGUUCAGAGAUGUUGAUGGCUCAUGCUGUGACACAGCUUACCAAUAGAACACCAGGCAAAGAAGCUGUUGCAAUGGAGUCUUAUGCUAAAUCACUGAGAAUGUUGCCAACCAUCAUAGCUGACAGUGCAGGCUAUGACAGUGCAGACCAGCAGCACAGCUCAGAGCUGCUCACCAUGAAGGUAACACCACUGCUGGACUGGAUAUGAGGGAAGGUCCCAUUGGAGAUAUGGCUCUCCUGGGUAUAACAGAAAGUUUUCAAGUAAAGCAACAAGUUCUUCUAAGUGCAGCUGAAGCAGUAGAGGUGAUUCUACAUGUGGACGACAUCAUCAAAGCAGCACCCAGGAAGCGUGUCCCUGAUCACCACCCGUGUUAAGCAUUCCCAUGUGCUGUUAAUCUCUGGACCAAUUUCUAGCAAAGUUGUGUUUGAAAGACAGCCUCUUAAAGAAGACUGUGGAAUCUGUUUAUUGGUGCCCAUUAUAUCCUUAAGUUUGGACAUUUAGCUGAACUUCUCUUUUAACAUGGGUCUAAUUUAUUUGCCAUGUAAUUUUCCAUACAAAUCAGUUGAUUGAAAAGUUCAUUUCUCAUACUGUACAUUAAAAUAAAAAUUUGAACAAUUAAAAAAAAGAUGUGACAGAUAAUUUUUUUGGCUAAGACAGGGUAGAUUCAAGUAGUCAGGUAAUAGAAAAGGGAGUGCCUUGUAUAUCAACUCAUGCUGGAAUUUGUGAAAUCGUAUAAAGUUUGAUAGAAAAAAUGUUAAAUUCAUCAAACCUUGUUUAGUCAUAAUCCUUACAAUUUCUGAUUUAGUAUAACAUCCUGAAUAAAUUUUUUCAGACUGAUGGAGAGAAGAAAUUAUUCUUUGCAAUAUGUAAAUUUCUGACUAAUAGGAGUAAAAGAAAAUAAUUGGUUCCUUAGGAUAUUUCUGGUUACUUAUGAGACGUUUGAGGAGGGACUCUGUCUAACUAUUGUUUUUAACCCUUGUUGUUGGUGGGUAGACAGAACAUUAAUGCUACAUGAAAGAUAGUUACUCUUGAAUCCUCAAGAGAAAGUAGGUUAUUUUUUUCUCUGUUAUCCAACAAACUUUUAACAAUUCUAAAGAAAGAAGUAAAAAGCACUUAGUUUUCAGAAGCAUGUUUCAGCUUCUUGCAUCAGGAGUAGGCCAGAUGGCCACGUUCUGUAUGGCUUUAUAAAUAUUCCUUUUUGUUCCAUGUAAAAGUUAAUGGCUAGUUUUAAACCAUGGUAUCAUUUUGAAAUCAGACCUUAUGUGCUUAACUUCAUUCAAACUAUUUCUAUUUUGUUAGACUGUAGGAAAACACAGAGCUGAGCUAUUAAAAUUCCAGAGCAAUUUGGAAUUGCCAACAAUAUGUACUGGAGAGAUGGGGAUGGAGUCUGAAGUCAAACGAAUUUGAAACUAGUCUCCUUUUACAUGCUGGGUGACUUUGGACAAGGGGAAAAGCUACCCGUGGGGUUUCUGUGAAUGUUAAAUGAAAUAAUACAUGCAGAGUGCUUGAAGUAAUGCUAGGGACAUAGCAAACCAAAAAAA